rnacentral:rRNA from 1 species
AUGUAUGAGGUCUCAGAAGGUUGGAACAACUUCAACGCGGUAAAGAAUUGGUGGCACUCCGUGAUAAAUGUCAACGACGACGUCUGUAAGGAACUUACUUCCUUUUUCAUGCUUACAUUUGGGAGAUUUGGUGUGAGCGAAAUGCCCAGAUUUUUAGAAAUUUAUUCAUCCGUGCCGGACACCAUGUUUGGUAAGAUCAAAAGAAAGGCUCUCUUUUUUUUUGCAGGUGAAAACAGAGGCUCUUUUGUGGGAAAAGGCAGGGGCCAAACGCUUAGGUUCUUUGAUGCCACUAGAGCAGUUCAUUGUAGCACCAGCCUUGUGGUCAAGUAUUAUAUGUAA